UGGGGGCUCAAGAGAACUACCACCAACUCGCUGUCAAAAUUACCAAAACUACUUAAAAGCUCCACGCUUGUUUCGAGCAGUAAACAAUCUACCGGAAGCGAAUUGUUGACCGUUCCCUCCCAGCUGGUCCUACUACAACACGUCAUUGCUCAUCAGUGCACAACCGUCUCUUUCCUUAGAAACCAAUCCGCAUAUGCGUGUCCUCAUACAGACGUCUGUCGCAUACUCCUAAGGGAACGAACGUGAAGGGAACAUCGAAGCCCCCGGAAAGAGACGGUUAGGUUAGGACCCGGGCAGGGUAGGGUAUCAAACGUUUGACAGCGGGUGAGCAUGUAUGACAUGAUUUUGUAGAAAAAUGAAUGGUUAAAAGAACAUUUGAACUAGCAAAAGAGGUCAACUAAGAAGAAGACGAGAAAUAUUUGCAAAGAAGCAACUGUAAAUAAUAAGCGAGAAAAAGAAAAUCGAAAAAAACUUGGAAGGAAAAACAUACAAGAACAAACGAGAACAGAAGAAGAAAUGUCAAACCAAAUACAAAACGAAUGGGGAAAGAAUCAUAUAACUGAACAAUAACCCAUGCGGUAAAAGAAAA